AAAAACUCGUGUGUAAUCUGAGACGGCGCCUGAAACUGGUCCAACCCGACGGUGACUACAGAAUAUACCGACCUACAGAAGAAUGUGACGAUGGAGAAGAAGGAGAAGGCGAUGGCGGCCCGGGCGGCGUCCGCCCCCUGGUUGAGUGGCAGAUCACCGUCCUUGGUCCGAGACCACUGAUUGGCCAGGAAGCAGAAGCUUACAAAGUUUCAUUUCUCUUGAUGUCAUCUGGCCGAGUUUGGCUACUUUUUUUUUUCCGGGUGCUUUUUAGGGAAACCCUACCUUUUUUAAUCCGGCCGACUUUGAAUUAAAUCACAGACUAUAACUCUGAAAUGUCAGAAUCAGAAACGGUGUAUUGCCUAUUCAUUCAUAUACUAUACAAAAGUAAAAGACCUCAAUAGAAUAUGAUAU